CUGUGCAUCUCGAAACCUCGCUCGAAGCUCCCAUUGGGAUUCUGUGGCAAGGCACUGGUUUGGCUGGUGGAGGCACUAAAAACCAGGCCAGAAGGCUGCCCAGAUUUUAUAAUUAUAGAUUGUCCGGCGGGGAUCGAUGCAGGGUUCAUUACGGCCAUAACUCCAGCGAAUGAGGCAGUGCUCGUCACAACCCCCGACAUUACGAGCCUGCGAGACGCGGAUAGAGUGACGGGGCUGUUGGAGUGCGAUGGGAUUAGGGAUAUAAAGAUGGUUGUGAAUAGAGUGAGGACUGAUAUGAUUAAAGGCGAGGACAUGAUGUCAGUGCUGGAUGUGCAGGAGAUGUUGGGGUUGGCGUUGUU
rnacentral:misc_RNA from 1 species